rnacentral:piRNA from 1 species
UUCAACUGUCCUUCAUUUGAAGGUGGUCGC